GAUGAACGCUGGCGGCGUGCCUAAUACAUGCAAGUCGAGCGAACAGACGAGGAGCUUGCUCCUCUGACGUUAGCGGCGGACGGGUGAGUAACACGUGGAUAACCUACCUAUAAUACUGGGAUAACUUCGGGAAACCGGAGCUAAUACCGGAUAAUAUAUUGAACCGCAUGGUUCAAUAGUGAAAGACGGUUUUGCUGUCACUUAUAGAUGGAUCCGCGCCGCAUUAGCUAGUUGGUAAGGUAACGGCUUACCAAGGCAACGAUGCGUAGCCGACCUGAGAGGGUGAUCGGCCACACUGGAACUGAGACACGGUCCAGACUCCUACGGGAGGCAGCAGUAGGGAAUCUUCCGCAAUGGGCGAAAGCGUGACGGAGCAACGCCGCGUGAGUGAUGAAGGUCUUCGGAUCGUAAAACUCUGUUAUUAGGGAAGAACAAAUGUGUAAGUAACUAUGCACGUCUUGACGGUACCUAAUCAGAAAGCCACGGCUAACUACGUG
rnacentral:rRNA from 1 species